UACGUAGGGGGCAAGCGUUGUCCGGAAUCAUUGGACGUAAAGCGCGUGUAGGCGGCCAGAUAAGUCCGCUGUGAAAUCUCGAGGCUCAACCUCGAGCUGUCGGUGGAAACUGUCUGGCUAGAGUCCGGAAGAGGAGAAUGGAAUUCCUGGUGUAGCGGUGAAAUGCGCAGAUAUCAGGAGGAAUACCCAUAGCGAAGGCAGCUCGCUGGGACGUUACUGACGCUGAGGCGCGAAAGCGUGGGGAGCGAACAGG
rnacentral:rRNA from 1 species